GCCUGGCUAGCUCAGUUGGUAGAGCACGUGACUCUUGAUUUUGGGUUUGUGAGUUUGAGCCCCGUGUUGGGUG
rnacentral:tRNA from 1 species